CGCCCACCUCUAUUUUUCUCUCCUUCCUGUCUCUUCAAACCAACAGCAACCGUCGCCUCCCAGCCACCAUCGCCUGUAGCUGCUCCGUCCAACUACUGGCAUAACAACACCAGCCAUUGACGAGAGCCCAACGACCAGCAUCUUCGGUUGCCGCUCAUCAAAAAAUUCAUCGCCAGCAAACCUUGAUUCCAGCCGCCACGCACCAUGUUUUUUCUGAGUUGUUAGGAAAAUUUAAACAGACGAGUAAAAUACAAACUGCUACGGAUCCGUUCGAGUACAACUGGAACACAUCGAAUGAAAGUGCAAUAAGUUUUCCAUAGGAGCCUGAACAGGUACAGGUCUAAAACUUGAGUAAGAUAGCAAGAAAAAGGGAUUUGGUUGACCCAUAUCCUAAACUUGAGCAACACUUACAUCAACUAAGGAAAGAAACAAUCAUUCUUUAUCAUGUAUCACAAAUUCAAUAAGAAGAAGCUAUUCAUACACCAAUGGUUGAAGAUCAACCAACCCAUAAGAUAGUAUACAAAGUGGCAAUCCCACUCACAACUAAUAUUACUUCUACCAUCCAUAGAUCAAAUCUGGAGUUAUAUUUGAGCUCAAAUAGAACAUGGUGCAACUAUAGCACAAUAAUGGACAAUU